rnacentral:rRNA from 1 species
ACUCAAAUGAAUAGACGGGGACCUGCACAAGCGGUGGAGCAUGUGGUUUAAUUCGACGGUAAGCGAGGAACCUUACCAAGACUUGACAUAUACCUGCAAUCUCCAGAAAUGGAGCCCCCUUCGAGGGUGGUAUACAGGUGCUGCACGGUUGUCGUCAGCUCGUGCCGUGAGGUGUUCGCUUAAGUGCGAAAACGAGCGCAACUCCUAUCAUUUGUUACAAGUGUCAAAUGAAACCGCCGGCGUUUAAGCCGGAGGAAGGUGGGAAUGACGUCAAAUCAGCGUGGCCCUUAUGUCUUGGGCGACACACGUGCUACAAUGGGAAGAACAAAGGGACGCCAAGGCGCAAGCCGGAGCAAAUCCCAUCAAUACUUCCCCCAGUUCGGAUUGAGGGCUGCAACUCGCCCUCAUGAAGCCGGAAUCGCUAGUAACCGUGAAUCAGCCUCGUCACGGUGAAUACGUUCUCAGGUUUUGUACACACCGCCCGU